CGGGUGAGUAACGCGUGGGAUAUCUACCCUGAUGAGUGGAAUAACUCUCCGAAAGGAGAGCUAAUACCGCAUAAUCCGGAAACGGGAAAGGCCUUAUGGUCGCAUCUGGAGGAGCCCGCGUCCGAUUAGCUGGUUGGUGAGGUAAUGGCUCACCAAGGCGACGAUCGGUAGCCGGUCUGAGAGGACGGACGGUCACACUGGGACUGAGACACGGCCCAGACUCCUACGGGAGGCAGCAGUGGGGAAUUUUGGGCAAUGGGGGAAACCCUGACCCAGCAACGCCGCGUGGAGGAAGAAGGUUUUCGAAUCGUAAACUCCUGUCCCACGAGAAGAAGCAAGUGACGGUAUCGUGGGAGGAAGCCCCGGCUAACUCCGUGCCAGCAGCCGCGGUAAUACGGGGGGGGCGAGCGUUGUUCGGAAUUACUGGGCGUCAAGGGCGCGUAGGCGGUUUCGGAAGUCAAGGGUGGAAGCCCCGAGCUCAACUCGGGAAUUGCCUUUGAAACCACGGAACUAGAGUGCUGGAGAGGAAAGCGGAAUUUCCAGUGUAGCGGUGAAAUGCGUAGAUAUUGGAAGGAACAUCUGAGGCGAAGGCGGCUUUCUGGACAGACACUGACGCUGAGGCGCGAAAGCCAGGGGAGCGAACGGGAUUAGAUACCCCGGUAGUCCUGGCUGUAAACGAUGAACACUUGGUGUGGGGGGUAUAAAGUCCCUCCGUGCCGAAGAUAACUCGAUAAGUGUUCCGCCUGGGGAGUACGGCCGCAAGGCUGAAACUCAAAGGAAUUGACGGGGGCCCGCACAAGCGGUGGAGCAUGUGGUUUAAUUCGACGCAACGCGAAGAACCUUACCGGGGUUUGAACUGUACCGGCGACAUCCAGAGAUGGAUGGUUUCCUUCGGGAACUGGUAUAAAGGUGCUGCAUGGCUGUCGUCAGCUCGUGUCGUGGGAUGUUGGGUUAAGUCCCGCAACGAGCGCAACCCUUGUCUGUAGUUGCCAUCAGGUUAAGCUGGGCACUCUACGGAGACUGUCGGCGAUAAGCCGGGGGAAGGUGGGGAUGACGUCAAGUCCUCAUGGCCUUUAUGUCCCGGGCUACACACGUGCUACAAUGGAUGGAACAGAGGGCAGCAAGCCUGCGAAGGCA
rnacentral:rRNA from 1 species